rnacentral:rRNA from 1 species
UACGUAGGGCGCAAGCGUUGUCCGGAUUCACUGGGUGUAAAGGGUGCGUAGGCGGGAAGGUAAGUCCGCGGUGAAAUCUCACGGCUCAACCGUGAAACUGCCGUUGAUACUGCUUUUCUUGAGUUCGGGAGAGGUUGGUGGAAUUCCAGGUGUAGCGGUGAAAUGCGUAGAUAUCUGGAAGAACACCAGUGGCGAAGGCGGUCAACUGGCCCGUAACUGACGCUGAGGCACGAAAGCGUGGGGAGCGAACAGG